UCCCCGUUACCGGGGCAGUCUGGCUAGAAAAAUACAACUAACCAUAGGGGUUGCGCUCGUUAAUGGACUUAACCAAACAUCUCACGACACGAGCUGACGACGGCCAUGCAACACCUGUCACUGAGUUCCCCUUACGAUUUACGAUUUACCGGACAACUUAUACAUUUGUCCUAUCAUAAAUCCUAAGGGGCACUCACUCCUUUCGGAGUAAUUCUCAGGAUGUCAAGCCCUGGUAAGGUUCUUCGCUUACCAUCGAAUUAAACAACACGCUCCACCGCUUGUGCGGGUCCCCGUCAAUUCCUUUGAGUUUUAGUCUUGCGACCGUACUCCCCAGGCGGGAUGCUUAACGCGUUAGCUUCGCUACUGAAGCGGGUCGAUACGCCCAACAGCUAGCAUCCAU
rnacentral:misc_RNA from 1 species